rnacentral:rRNA from 1 species
UAAUGCCGGAUGUUCCAGUUGAUCGCAUGGUCUUCUGGGAAAGCUUUCGCGGUAUGGGAUGGGGUCGCGUCCUAUCAGCUUGACGGCGGGGUAACGGCCCACCGUGGCUUCGACGGGUAGCCGGCCUGAGAGGGCGACCGGCCACAUUGGGACUGAGAUACGGCCCAGACUCCUACGGGAGGCAGCAGUGGGGAAUAUUGCACAAUGGGCGCAAGCCUGAUGCAGCGACGCCGCGUGAGGGAUGGAGGCCUUCGGGUUGUAAACCUCUUUUAUCGGGGAGCAAGCGUGAGUGAGUUUACCCGUUGAAUAAGCACCGGCUAACUACGUGCCAGCAGCCGCGGUAAUACGUAGGGUGCAAGCGUUAUCCGGAAUUAUUGGGCGUAAAGGGCUCGUAGGCGGUUCGUCGCGUCCGGUGUGAAAGUCCAUCGCUUAACGGUGGAUCCGCGCCGGGUACGGGCGGGCUUGAGUGCGGUAGGGGAGACUGGAAUUCCCGGUGUAACGGUGGAAUGUGUAGAUAUCGAAGAAGAAA